rnacentral:rRNA from 1 species
CAUAGUAUGUAAAUAUAUGUCCUCGCCUUAAAAAGCGUUGAUAAACUUAUACAACUUUCAACAACGGAUCUCUUGGCUCUCGCAUCGAUGAAGAACGCAGCGAAAUGCGAUAAGUAAUGUGAAUUGCAGAUUUUCAGUGAAUCAUCGAAUCUUUGAACGCACCUUGCGCUCCUUGGUAUUCCGAGGAGCAUGCCUGUUUGAGUGUCAUUAAAUUCUCAACUCUGAUCGAUUUGUUUCGACUUCGGAGCUUGGAUUUGGAGCGUGCUGGCGUCGGUCGGCUCCUCUUAAAUGCAUCAGCGGAAUCUAACGUUUCGGACGUCAGUGUGAUAAUCAUGUUGCGCUGUCUGUCUGAUCCGAAAGCCCGCUCACAAUGGUCUUCGGACAACUUCAUAUCAAAU